UAUGUAUGAUAGGAGUGGGGAUAAAUAAAUAGAAUCUGUAUUGUAGCUAGUAUAAAACGCGCCGAUCGACUUGCUGAAAGGUUUAGUCAAGGUUGAGAGCUCUCUGUUCCCAUUUGUUCAAGCAACAUGAUCGGAUUAAAGAAAAAGAAGCUUCUAAUAUUUGGGGUGAGCAUCGCUACAAUUCUAUUUAUGGUCCUAACGAUAAUAAUCGUAUUAUUCGUUAAUAAUUCAGAAACGAUCUCUAAUGGAAGCUCAUACUUUGGAAGAUACAAAAAGGCUGCAGUGUCCACACAUGGUCAAGAAUGCGCUGAGAUAGGUGUAGGCAUGUUAAAUAAAGGUGGAUCGGCAGUCGAUGCGGCUAUUGCUGCCCUCUUAUGCGAGGGAGUUGCAUCUUUACAUAGUAUGGGAUUGGGCGGUGGAUUUUUAAUGACCAUUUGGGAUGCAUCUAACAAAACUGCCGAUUAUUUGGAUGCAAGGGAGAUCGCUCCACUUGAUGCAAAUGAAAACAUGUUUCAGGGAGAUCCUCAAUUAGCGAUGUUUGGCGGUUUAGCCGUUGCAGUACCGGGCGAACUUCUUGGGUAUUGGGAAGCUCAUAAAAAAUAUGGAAAAUUGAAAUGGUUCGACCUAUUCCAGCCGAUUAUUUCUCUGUGCGCCACUGGAUCUAUCGUGACUAAAUAUUUGGAAUCAUAUUUGACCAGUAAAGAAUCUUCGAUAAGAGCGGAAAAAUCGUUGGCCGAAAUCCUUAUAAAUCCUACUACCAAUUCGUUAUGGAAGGUAGGCGAUAGAAUAAAAAGACCACGUUUGGCAGAAACGUUAAAAUUGAUCGCGGUUAAUGGACCCGAUAUAUUUUACAAUGGCAAUAUGACUGAUAAUUUAGUCAAAGAGAUCAGUGCUUUCAAAGGUAUCAUAAAGAGGGAGGAUUUCGUAAAUUAUAAAGUAAAAUGGAGGAAACCGAUUAAAUCAACAAUCGGGAAUUUAACCAUCUAUACCGCACCGCCACCUAGUUCAGGAGCGCUGCUAACUUUUAUUAUGAAUGUUCUCUACGGUAUAAUUCCAAAUCAGGAUAAUCGAAUUACAUGGCAAAAUAUAAUCGAGACGUUUAAAUGGGCUUAUGCUAAAAGAACGAAAUUAGCUGAUCCUGAUUUCAUUGAUAUCACCCAAGUACUUAAUAAUUUGACAUCUGUCGAUUAUGCAAAUAUGAUUCGAAAGAAAAUUAAAAUAAACGAGACAAGUAACGAUCCGACUUAUUAUGGUGCUAUUACUGUUCCACCAGACGAUUCAGGAACGUCUCACAUCUCCGUUUUGGCUCCCGAUGGAUCUGCUGUAUCUGUUACAUCAACGAUAAAUCAAGUUUUUGGAGCAAUGAUACGUUCAGAAUCGACUGGCAUAAUAUUUAAUGAUGAAAUGGAUGAUUUUAGCUCCCCAAAUAUAACUAAUGCAUUCGGUGUACCACCUUCGCCAGCAAAUUUUAUUAAGCCUGGAAAAAGACCUUUGAGUUCUAUGAGCCCGACAAUUGUUAUAAAGAUGAACAUGUCCGCUUAGUAAUUGGUGCUGCAGGUGGAACUAAAAUCAUCACCUCAAUUGCAACAGCAAUGAUAUUAAAUCUUUGGUCAGGAUAUGAUAUAAAACAAGCUAUUGAUGUACCUAGAAUUCAUCAUCAACUAUUACCAAUGAUUGUUCAAUAUGAACAAGGAUUUUCUACAGACAUAUUAAAUUAUUUAUCGAAUAUUGGACAUAAUAUUACAACUUAUACGGGAAUUGGUAGUGCAAUUACGGCUAUAUCUAAACAAAAUGGACAAAUAUUUGCUACUUCGGAUUUUCGAAGAGAAGGAAAAACUGCUGGUUUUUAAGUAAUUAUUUAAGUUUUUUUACCCAUCAACAAAAUAGCAAAUAAAAUGACUCAGUGCAUAGAUAAAAUAAUAAUAUUGCUAUAUACGCAAGUGAUACGACAUUGUUGUGAUAAAAUAUUAGUUUAUCUUCUUUUAAUAAUGCAAUGCACAUAAUCUAGCUAUGAAAACUGUAAGUCUCAAAUGAUCGUUGCGAGUCUUAUAAAUGCCGCAUCCUAGUGUAUAUCUGUAUUCUAUAAUAAAUAAUAAUUCUUUGAUC
rnacentral:misc_RNA from 1 species